rnacentral:rRNA from 1 species
UACGUAGGGUCCAAGCGUUGUCCGGAUUUAUUGGGCGUAAAGAGCUCGUAGGCGGUUCCGUAAGUCGGAUGUGAAAACUCAGGGCUCAACCCGGAGACGCCAUCUGAUACUGCGGUGACUGGAGUCUGGUAGGGGAUCACGGAAUACCUGGUGUAGCGGUGAAAUGCGCAGAUAUCAGGUGGAACACCGAUGGCGAAGGCAGUGAUCUGGGCCAGUACUGACGCUGAGGAGCGAAAAGCGUGGGGAGCAAACAGG